rnacentral:tRNA from 1 species
CUGGAAACGUGCCCGAACUUCAAGGGCUACUUUGAUAGAGUAAACCACAGAGGUUAAAACCCUCUCGCUUCCC